AUGAGCUCAAGCAGCAGCCUGCCAGCACCAGGCCCUCUCCCCACCCUUCCCCUGCCCACCCGCGGCCUCUCCGAGGGCUGGAUGAGGCCGGGGGCACCGGGGGGGGAUGCACCGGGCUGGCAGCGGGGACCCAGGACCCUGCAAAACCCCAUGGGCAGGACCACAGCCCCGAUCCCAACCUGGAAGCUCUGUGAGAGCUCUGCUUUUAAGCAAAACCUUGGAAUAAAAUCCAGUAGGAAAGGGAUCGGGGGCAUCUUUCUGCUCCCAUCACUCCAGCAGAGCAGGAUGGCCCCAGCUGGGCAACGCCAAGAGCAAUGCAAGGAGAGCACUGCGAGCGCCCAGUACCCCAAAACAGGGAAGGAUUUGGGGACGGGGACACCAGCUGAAGCCACCACGGCGGUGACAUCCCAGCUGCCAGCCCUGGGCUGCCAGGCACACCCCAGCUCCGUGCAGCAGCCAGAUAACAGCCCGGCCAGCCCGCUUGCUCUGCUGCAGCUUCAGGAGGAUGUCACCGCCCAGUUACGCUCCAGUUGGAUUUUUAAGGUUACCUGCAUUACCGUAACGGAUGGGGGAAAGAAAAAAAACAGCCACAUUUCACUCUGUGCUUUGUUCCCUGAUGUUCUGCAACAGGGGGGCUCUGAGGACAGGCUCCGUGCUGGGAAACCCACAGGAGCAGAGCCCAGGCUGCCCUCGGGGAGCGUCGGAGCAGCGGCCAGCUGGCACGGCACCGUGGCGUUAUCGGACACGCUGCACCAUGCCAAAAACUGCACAGCUGUGCAGCAGGACCUGGGCAAAAAACCUCUGCCCACCUCUUCGGAGCAGGCACGGGGCUGGGCAGAGCAUCCUGCAGGGCUGCAGGCUCACAUCCAUCGCUCAGGAUGGAUUUUUUUCCCCAAAAAAAAGCAGUGGCAGAGGCUACACCUGCUCGGAGCUCGCCGUGCAGGCAACCACGAGCCACCUCCGGGAGCAGCACGGUGCUGGCGUGCUGCCACGAGACAAAGGGCUGGGAGCAACCCCAACCCCAGAGACUUCACGGGCAAGAGGAGAGGAAAAAGGAGAUGGUGCUUCAAGAAAAGCCAGGAGGGAGAGGCGAAACUGCUGCCACCAGCUCUGCUGCUGCUCUGGUUCCUGAGCCCGUCCUACCCGGCUCGGUGCAAUUUCAAGUACCUCCAGUUGGCCACAAAACCCUGUAAAGUUGGUAAAAGGGCGAAGUAUUGCCUCUUUCUGCUUUUAAUGCAGAGUCUCAACGACUACAAAUAA
rnacentral:lncRNA from 1 species